ensembl:lncRNA
GGAAGGAGCGAAAACAAAGGAGCAUGAAUGCUUAUGCAACCUUAAUAUUACAGAUGUGUGUAACUCUACUUAUAGUGAAUUGUAAACCUCAGUGAGUCUUGUUAAAAUGGUCGAUGCUCAUCUGCAAAAAUAACGAGGUCAGUGUCUGCGUAAACUCUGAGCCAACUUCACACACAAACACACAAUUUAGGACAGUUUUUUUUUUUUUUUAACUCGUGGCUCUCUGUGAUGUCAGAGAGAAGGGAUAUCCCUAAUAUGGUCAUCUCCGACUUGCAGAAGCCCUACACACCUGAUGUCCAAGCAUGUUUGCAAAGGUCAGCCAUGCAGAAGAAAGGUGGUACAACUUGAGGUACUGCUCCAAGCCCUAGUGUAAGAUAAUAUUGGAAAUCUCCUUGAUGUUUUCAGAAACACUUUAUAAUACAGCCUGUGACAAAGGGGGCAAUGUCCCUGUAAUUAAAUGGAAUUUAAUGAAAAGGUAAGAAGUUGGUUUUUACAUGAAACAAGGAAAUUAUUAUGCUGUAAGUCAUUUUAAUUAAUGCAUGAUUAAUUUUAAGUGUUGCAUAACUUCAGAUAUUUUGCAGGAAAGAGACAAACAAUUAUUUUAGUACUGCAUGAGCAAAGUGUAAAUACAUGCUUUUUUUUUUUUUUUUUAAUUAUGAAGUGGCUCAACCUUGCCUAACUUUUGUGUAUUUUACAGGAAGGGGAUACUCUUUUUGAAAGUUAUGUUUGAAUAGUGACUGUGAAAGAAAAACACUUGGAUCCAUCAUCAUAAGGUCACACAGGUCAGAACAUUUUGAUGGUAGUUAUUUUUUCGUGUAAGUUGGUAAAUGAGAACAAUCUGUAUCACCUUUAUAUUAGUAAAAUAAAAGAACAAUUGAAAAAUAGAACAUCCAUUAUAAACAUUAACAUAAUGCAUUAAAUGAAAUAUAGAAAUCACACAUUAAAUAAAGAUGAAAAAACAUGCAGACCUAUACUGAUAAAAUAAAAGGCAAGAUGAAACCACCCC